rnacentral:lncRNA from 1 species
GUUUCCUCUCAGGAAACUCAGCUCCUGAGUUUGACCUUUUUCUUUAAUUUGUUACAGCUGACCAUUUUCUAAUGUGAUAGCUUUUGAGUGUUUAGAGGUUUAUGCACCUAUUUGUACUUAGGCUUUGUAGGCUUCCCAAAGGUAUAAAGAGGCUCUUCGGUUCAAUAUCUCUUUCUACCUUUGCAAAGCCUAUGAAGAUUAACUGUGUCUUCUCCCAGGGAUAUGGUUCCCAGAGUCUCUGAGCCUUUGGUUCUGUAUGGAAUUUGAUUUAUGACUCUGUGUGGUGCCCAGAUUAAUGAGCCUAUCCCUUUAUUUGAUUAAAAAGCACUACUUUAGGCACUGAGGACACAAGAAGUAUGGUGACUCCUGUCUGAAAGCUUAUUUUGAUGUCUACAUUCUGGAAAGCAGUUUGGAACUAUGCAAAAAGAGUUACUAAAUGAUUUGUGCCCUUCAGCCUGCUGUUGGAUUUAUAUACCAAGUAGAUAUCUAUGAGGAUUGUUUAUAUAGAUGGAAAAAAUUCACCAACUGGACGACUACGAGAAGGGAUACUCUCUCCCAGGAUACCCCUGCUUAUGGAUAUGGAUGUCACCAGCCUUGUCUCCCACCAGAGACAAGCUCUUUAGUUACUGCCCUCAGCUCUGUCCCUGGAAAGGACUUUUUAAAAAAAGAAACUGUGAAAGGAAGCAAUGAAGAAAGCAGUGGAGGCACAAAAUGUCCCACUACUACUCCUGCCAAAGAAGCAAUUGCACUUUUUUAGCUCUGGAAGAGAAGCCUUAGAUGCAUGUUUGCCCUACUUCCACUUUGGGAAAUAUAUAAUAAAAAUUUAUAUUAAUUAUAAUUCUCUCA